UGAGCUGCGUCUUCAUGGCGCUUUCCUCCCUUGACUUGAGCCCGUCGCGAAUGGCGGGCUUCUUUCGAUGCGCU
rnacentral:sRNA from 1 species